rnacentral:rRNA from 1 species
GGACCCGCACAAGCGGUGGAGCAUGUGGUUUAAUUCGAUGCAACGCGAAAAAACCUUACCUACUCUUGACAUACUUGGGAGCUCUUGUAAUGAGAGUGUGCCUAUUGGAACCAAGAUACAGGUGCUGCAUGGCUGUCGUCAGCUCGUGUCGUGAGAUGUUCCGUUAAGUCGGAUAACGAGCGCAACCCUUUACCCUUAUUUGCCAGCGAUUCGGUCGGGAACUAUAAGGGGACUGCCGGUGAUAAAACCGGAGGAAGGUGAGGACGACGUCAAGUCAUCAUGGCCCUUACGAGUAGGGCUACACACGUGCUACAAUGGGGAAUACAGACGGACGCUAAAGCCGCGAAGGUG